CCUACGGGGGGCAGCAGUGGGGCAUAUUGCGCAAUGGGCGAAAGCCUGACGCAGCGACGCCGCGUGAGGGAUGAAGGUCUUCGGAUCGUUAACCUCUGUCAGCAGGGAAGAACGGUCACUGUGCUAAUCAGCAGUGAAUUGACGGUACCUGCAAAGGAAGCACCGGCUAACUCCGUGCCAGCAGCCGCGGUAAUACGGAGGGUGCGAGCGUUAAUCGGAAUUACUGGGCGUAAAGCGCUCGUAGGCGGUAUGUCAAGUCAAGGGUGAAAUCCCCGCGCGCAACGUGGGAACUGCCUUUGAAACUGGCAAACUGGAGUGUGUGAGAGGAUAGUGGAAUUCCAGGGGUAGGAGUGAAAUCCGUAGAUAUCUGGAGGAACAUCAGUGGCGAAGGCGACUAUCUGGCACAUAACUGACGCUGAGGAGCGAAAGCGUGGGUAGCAAACAGGAUUAGAUACCCUGGUAGUC
rnacentral:rRNA from 1 species